rnacentral:lncRNA from 1 species
AGGAAUUUUGUUCGGGCAUUCAUAUUCCCAUUGAAUGGUUGUACCCUUUCAAAGCUUCUCUAGAUGGAGUUUCGAUGGAUGACCAGAUAGCGACAUCUCGGGAUGGACCUACAUGGUUAGCACUCCAACGCCUAAGUCAGUUUAGAAUUCAAGAUGAGUGUAAUGAAAAGUAGAGAUAAGAAAGUGUACAUUACACUUCACGUGAUAUGACUUUAUACCUCACGUCAUUUGGAGUAAACUGCCAUUAAUUUGACCUUUAACCGACCCAAAAAAAU